UACAGAGGUCCCAAGCGUUGUUCGGAUUCACUGGGCGUAAAGGGUGCGUAGGUGGUGAGGUAAGUCGGAUGUGAAAGCUCGGAGCUCAACUCCAAAAUGGCAUUGGAAACUACCUUGCUCGAGGGUUGGAGGGGGGACUGGAAUACUUGGUGUAGCAGUGAAAUGCGUAGAUAUCAAGUGGAACACCAGUGGCGAAGGCGAGUCCCUGGACAACUCCUGACACUGAGGCACGAAAGCUAGGGGAGCAAACAGG
rnacentral:rRNA from 1 species